UACGGGGGGAGCAAGCGUUGUUCGGAAUUACUGGGCGUAAAGGGCGCGUAGGCGGCCUGUUAAGUCGAACGUGAAAUCCCCGGGCUCAACCCGGGAACUGCGUCCGAUACUGGCAGGCUUGAAUUCGGGAGAGGGAUGUGGAAUUCCAGGUGUAGCGGUGAAAUGCGUAGAUAUCUGGAGGAACACCGGUGGCGAAGGCGGCAUCCUGGACCGAUAUUGACGCUGAUGCGCGAAAGCCAGGGGAGCAAACGGG
rnacentral:rRNA from 1 species